rnacentral:rRNA from 1 species
UACGUAGGUCCCGAGCGUUGUCCGGAUUUAUUGGGCGUAAAGCGAGCGCAGGUGGUUUAUUAAGUCUGGUGUAAAAGGCAGUGGCUCAACCAUUGUAUGCAUUGGAAACUGGUAGACUUGAGUGCAGGAGAGGAGAAUGGAAUUCCAUGUGUAGCGGUGAAAUGCGUAGAUAUAUGGAGGAACACCGGUGGCGGAAGCGGCUCUCUGGCCUGUAACUGACACUGAGGCUUGAAAGCGUGGGGAGCAAACAGG